AUUGAACGCUGGCGGCAUGCUUUACACAUGCAAGUCGAACGGUAACAGGCCUUCGGGUGCUGACGAGUGGCGAACGGGUGAGUAAUGCAUCGGAACGUACCCAGAGGUGGGGGAUAACGCAGCGAAAGCUGUGCUAAUACCGCAUGUGAUCUGAGGAUGAAAGCGGGGGACCGAGCAGCAAUGUUUGGCCUCGCGCCUUUGGAGCGGCCGAUGUCGGAUUAGCUAGUUGGUGGGGUAAAGGCCUACCAAGGCGACGAUCCGUAGCUGGUCUGAGAGGAUGACCAGCCACACUGGGACUGAGACACGGCCCAGACUCCUACGGGAGGCAGCAGUGGGGAAUUUUGGACAAUGGGCGCAAGCCUGAUCCAGCAAUGCCGCGUGCGGGAAGAAGGCCUUCGGGUUGUAAACCGCUUUUGGCAGGAACGAAACGGUGUCCGCUAAUACCGGGCGCUAAUGACGGUACCUGCAGAAUAAGCACCGGCUAACUACGUG
rnacentral:rRNA from 1 species